rnacentral:rRNA from 1 species
UACGUAGGGUGCGAGCGUUGUCCGGAAUUAUUGGGCGUAAAGGGCUCGUAGGCGGUCUGUCACGUCGGGAGUGAAAACACGGGGCUUAACCCCGUGCCUGCUUCCGAUACGGGCAGACUAGAGGUAUGCAGGGGAGAGCGGAAUUCCUGGUGUAGCGGUGAAAUGCGCAGAUAUCAGGAGGAACACCAAUGGCGAAGGCAGCUCGCUGGGACGGUACUGACGCUGAGGCGCGAAAGCGUGGGGAGCAAACAGGAUUAGAACUACCGAGUCAGUC